CAAUAGCGUAUAUUAAAGUUGUUGCAGUUAAAAAGUUCGUAGUUGAAUGUUUGGUCUUUCACCGUCCGGUCCGUUGUUUAUGACAAUGUGUACCUUUGGUAUGGUGGGACCAUAUUUUGUGAGGAGGAUGGUCUGCCAUUCAGUUGGUGGAUCGUUCGACUUGCAUCGUUUACUGUGAAAAAAUUAGAGUGUUUAAAGCAGGCGUUUGUUCAUUUUAAUACAUUAGCAUGGAAUAAUAAGAUACGACCUUGGUGGUCUAUUUUGUUGGUUUGCACGCCAGGGUAAUGAUUAAUAGGGACAGUUGGGGGUAUUCAUAUUUCAGCGUCAGAGGUGAAAUUCUUGGAUCGCUGAAAGAUGAGCUUCGGCGAAAGCAUUUACCAAGGAUGUUUUCAUUAA
rnacentral:rRNA from 1 species